AUUGAACGCUGGCGGCAGGCCUAACACAUGCAAGUCGAGCGGUAGCACAGAGAGCUUGCUCUCGGGUGACGAGCGGCGGACGGGUGAGUAAUGUCUGGGAAACUGCCUGAUGGAGGGGGAUAACUACUGGAAACGGUAGCUAAUACCGCAUAACGUCGCAAGACCAAAGUGGGGGACCUUCGGGCCUCAUGCCAUCAGAUGUGCCCAGUUGGGAUUAGCUAGUAGGUGGGGUAACGGCUCACCUAGGCGACGAUCCCUAGCUGGUCUGAGAGGAUGACCAGCCACACUGGAACUGAGGCACGGUCCAGACUCCUACGGGAGGCAGCAGUGGGGAAUAUUGCACAAUGGGCGCAAGCCUGAUGCAGCCAUGCCGCGUGUGUGAAGAAGGCCUUCGGGUUGUAAAGCACUUUCAGUGGGGAGGAAGGCGGUGAGGUUAAUAACCUCACCGAUUGACGUUACCCGCAGAAGAAGCACCGGCUAACUCCGUGCCAGCCGCCGCCGUAAUAC
rnacentral:rRNA from 1 species